rnacentral:rRNA from 1 species
GAGUUUGAUCAUGGCUCAGAUUGAACGCUGGCGGCAUGCCUUACACAUGCAAGUCGAACGGCAGCAUGAUCUAGCUUGCUAGAUUGAUGGCGAGCGGCGAACGGGUGAGUAAUACAUCGGAACGUGCCCUGUAGUGGGGGAUAACUAGUCGAAAGAUUAGCUAAUACCGCAUACGACCUGAGGGUGAAAGUGGGGGACCGCAAGGCCUCAUGCUAUAGGAGCGGCCGAUGUCUGAUUAGCUAGUUGGUGGGGUAAAGGCCCACCAAGGCGACGAUCAGUAGCUGGUCUGAGAGGACGAUCAGCCACACUGGGACUGAGACACGGCCCAGACUCCUACGGGAGGCAGCAGUGGGGAAUUUUGGACAAUGGGGGCAACCCUGAUCCAGCAAUGCCGCGUGUGUGAAGAAGGCCUUCGGGUUGUAAAGCACUUUUGUCCGGAAAGAAAUCGCACUUACUAAUAUUAGGUGUGGAUGACGGUACCGGAAGAAUAAGGACCGGCUAACUACGUGCCAGCAGCCGCGGUAAUACGUAGGGUCCAAGCGUUAAUCGGAAUUACUGGGCGUAAAGCGUGCGCAGGCGGUUGUGCAAGACCGAUGUGAAAUCCCCGGGCUUAACCUGGGAAUUGCAUUGGUGACUGCACGGCUAGAGUGUGUCAGAGGGGGGUAGAAUUCCACGUGUAGCAGUGAAAUGCGUAGAGAUGUGGAGGAAUACCGAUGGCGAAGGCAGCCCCCUGGGAUAACACUGACGCUCAUGCACGAAAGCGUGGGGAGCAAACAGGAUUAGAUACCCUGGUAGUCCACGCCCUAAACGAUGUCAACUAGUUGUUGGGGAUUCAUUUCCUUAGUAACGUAGCUAACGCGUGAAGUUGACCGCCUGGGGAGUACGGUCGCAAGAUUAAAACUCAAAGGAAUUGACGGGGACCCGCACAAGCGGUGGAUGAUGUGGAUUAAUUCGAUGCAACGCGAAAAACCUUACCUACCCUUGACAUGCCACUAACGAAGCAGAGAUGCAUUAGGUGCUCGAAAGAGAAAGUGGACACAGGUGCUGCAUGGCUGUCGUCAGCUCGUGUCGUGAGAUGUUGGGUUAAGUCCCGCAACGAGCGCAACCCUUGUCUCUAGUUGCUACGAAAGGGCACUCUAGAGAGACUGCCGGUGACAAACCGGAGGAAGGUGGGGAUGACGUCAAGUCCUCAUGGCCCUUAUGGGUAGGGCUUCACACGUCAUACAAUGGUGCAUACAGAGGGUUGCCAAGCCGCGAGGUGGAGCUAAUCCCAGAAAAUGCAUCGUAGUCCGGAUCGUAGUCUGCAACUCGACUACGUGAAGCUGGAAUCGCUAGUAAUCGCGGAUCAGCAUGCCGCGGUGAAUACGU